GAUGAACGCUGGCAGAAUGCUUAACACAUGCAAGUCAACCUGUUGCGGACGGGUGAGUAACGCGUAGAGAACUUGCCUCACAGUUAGGGACAACCUUUGGAAACGAAUGCUAAUACCUGAUACUGUGGGAGAGCUUUGCGUCCCAUUAGCUAGUUGGAGAGGUACCGGCGCACCAAGGCGAUGAUGGGUAGCCGGCCUGAGAGGGGGAUCGGCCACAAGGGGACAGGGAAAGGGCCAUUAGUCCUACGUGAGGCAGGAGUGGGGGCUAUUGGAAGAUGUACCGAAGUGUGAUGCAGGAAUUCGGGUUGAAAGAUGAUGUUUUGGGAAGGUAGAGUGCUUUCUGUUGGGAAGCGUUACCCACAGAAGAAGUGACGGCUAAAUACGUGCCAGCAGCCGCGGUAAUUC
rnacentral:rRNA from 1 species